UCCUUGACCUCUCGCCAGUGAGAAGCGAAGCGAGUGGAGCGAUGCAAAACUGAGACAAGAGUAUGUGUCCAUGUGUCUUAUUGGCUAGAGGCUAAUAUAUGUGUCAGGGAUGUCUACUUCGGCUGGAGCAACGGGAGAGAGUUACCACAAUAUCCACAGCGAAGGUACAGACGAGGUUCAGGCAUGAAUCGGGGGUCAAAGACAGGCGCAAUCAGCAAACGGGACACUCGAUAAGAACGGUGGAAUGCGGUACAAGAACUCGACAAUCUGGCGAGAAGGAUUUGAUCCACACCAUCGGGAGAGCGCUGCUCUGGGAGCUGCAGGGUUCGUCAUCUGGGGGGACCUGAACCUGACCUCAUCCAGGGUAGGUGUCUGUCAGCCUGUAAUCAAGGAGAAGACCACGAUCAGUCAGCUGAUGAGGAUGGAACAUGUUCUUUUACUCAGGUUCAUGCAGUCACAUACACAUAAACAGGGCACAAAUGCAACCUGCUCAUAAAGGCCUGUGUUCGACCUGCGUGGAUCUGGCAAACUUUGGAAGAACAACAUUCAACGUGGUCAUUUGUCUCUGAACUGAGGACCGUCACAAAUGACAUGGAACAUCUGCAGGUUGCAUUUCCUGGUCUUUCACAAUAAAAGGGCUGACCUUGGUUUAACCUGAAUUAUCAUAAUAAUUCUUUGUUCGUCAUAUGCCACACACAGUGUCACGAUGACAUUUGCAGCCGUCAUCACUGCAAAGUUAAGUUACUGUGUUUUACUUGUUCUAAUAAAACUACAAGCUAAAAACGAAACAUUAACUAUACAACAUGUUGAAAAUGUCAGCUGGACGUAAGUGCACUGCCAAUAAAGACUAAGUGAAGCGGA